AAUCUCGUGGGAAGUUGCAGCGGUUGGGGGGAGGGGCAUCCCAGCGGUUGGGGGUGGGCCAAAGGAAGGGGCUGAGGCGAGGAGGCCGGUGUAGUCUCUCUGGCUCCGAAAUACCUUCCUACAGGUGUUUUUAUUGGCCUCCUGUGUAAUCAAUUAACACUGGGAAUUCUAGAGAAUCGAAGUGGAGAUGUACUUAUCAAAAUCAAUCCAGAAAUGAGUUGUUGGGUGGUUCUAGCUCUCCCUCUCAACACACAUACACACACUAUAGCAUUAAACACACCCUGACACUAAACAUCUGAGUUAUGAAAAGGACUUAAGCGCUGUAAGGACUUCCUAUUCAAGAGCAAAAUCAGCCAGCUAACUUUUAUAGUAGUUCUCAGCGUGUGGCCCCAGAUCAGCAUCACCUGGGAACUUAGAAAUGCAAAUUCUUGGACUCCACCAUAGACCCACCGAAUCAAAUGCCUGGGUGGUGGUACCCAGCAAUCUGCUUUAACAAGCCCUCCAAGUGGUUCUGAUGCACACUAAAAUCAGGUGCAGGCACCCUAUAGCAAAAAUCUCUCCAAAAAAGAAGCUACCUCCUAAAAACCAGGAAACAGACAACAAAUCUGCUACUGCCCUGAUCAGAGACUUACCAGCUUCCAGAAUUGUCUCCUGGUUGCUGAAUUUCUUAGUCACUACCUUGCCUCACUGCAGGCCCAGGCGAUCUGCAAUUUUCUGGAAACAAACGAACAAAAAAUAGGAGUUUGCUGCUACCCUCUCAUCAGAGUUAAAGCUUGAUUCCAACCUCCCCAGAACAGGUGGACUUAUCCCAUGAGAAUUUAAGAAGAAGGAGAUAGAAAGUGUUCUUUUAUGGUCUCUUGUCUGACUUCCGAUAAUCCCAAAAAUAAACAAG